rnacentral:rRNA from 1 species
UACGAAGGGGGCUAGCGUUGCUCGGAAUUACUGGGCGUAAAGCGCACGUAGGCGGUCUUUUAAGUCGGGGGUGAAAUCCUGGAGCUCAACUCCAGAACUGCCUUUGAUACUGAGGAUCUUGAGUUCGGGAGAGGUGAGUGGAACUGCGAGUGUAGAGGUGAAAUUCGUAGAUAUUCGCAAGGACACCAGUGGCGAAGGCGGCUCACUGGCCCGAUACUGACGCUGAGGCACGAAAGCGUGGGGAGCAAACAGG